AGCUUGGCUUCUCUAGAUUUAGCGGCGGACGGGUGAGUAACACGUGGGUAACCUGCCCUGUAGACUGGGAUAACUUCGGGAAACCGGAGCUAAUACCGGAUAAUUCUUUUAGUCUCAUGACUUUAAGCUAAAAGGCGCUUCGGCGUCACUACAGGAUGGACCCGCGGUGCAUUAGCUAGUUGGUGAGGUAACGGCUCACCAAGGCAACGAUGCAUAGCCGACCUGAGAGGGUGAUCGGCCACAUUGGGACUGAGACACGGCCCAAACUCCUACGGGAGGCAGCAGUAGGGAAUCUUCCACAAUGGACGAAAGUCUGAUGGAGCAACGCCGCGUGAGUGAUGAAGGUUUUCGGAUCGUAAAACUCUGUUGUAAGGGAAGAACAAGUACGUUAGGUAAUGAACGUACCUUGACGGUACCUUAUCAGAAAGCCACGGCUAACUACGUGCCAGCAGCCGCGGUAAUACGUAGGUGGCAAGCGUUGUCCGGAUUUAUUGGGCGUAAAGCGCGCGCAGGUGGUUUCUUAAGUCUGAUGUGAAAGCCCCCGGCUCAACCGGGGAGGGUCAUUGGAAACUGGGAGACUUGAGUGCAGAAGAGGAUAGUGGAAUUCCAAGUGUAGCGGUGAAAUGCGUAGAGAUUUGGAGGAACACCAGUGGCGAAGGCGACUGUCUGGUCUGUAACUGACACUGAGGCGCGAAAGCGUGGGGAGCAAACAGGAUUAGAUACCCUGGUAGUCCACGCCGUAAACGAUGAGUGCUAAGUGUUAGGGGGUUUCCGCCCCUUAGUGCUGCAGCUAACGCAUUAAGCACUCCGCCUGGGGGAGUACGACCGCAAGGUUGAAACUCAAAGGAAUUGACGGGGGCCCGCACAAGCGGUGGAGCAUGUGGUUUAAUUCGAAGCAACGCGAAGAACCUUACCAGGUCUUGACAUCCCAAUGACCGUUCUAGAGAUAGAAUUUUCCCUUCGGGGACAUUGGUGACAGGUGGUGCAUGGUUGUCGUCAGCUCGUGUCGUGAGAUGUUGGGUUAAGUCCCGCAACGAGCGCAACCCUUAUUCUUAGUUGCCAUCAUUUAGUUGGGCACUCUAAGGAGACUGCCGGUGACAAACCGGAGGAAGGUGGGGAUGACGUCAAAUCAUCAUGCCCCUUAUGACCUGGGCUACACACGUGCUACAAUGGACGGUACAAAGAGCUGCGAACCCGCGAGGGUAAGCCAAUCUCAUAAAACCGUUCUCAGUUCGGAUUGUAGUCUGCAACUCGACUAC
rnacentral:rRNA from 1 species